GUGUCAGCAGCCGCGGUAAGACAGAGGCCUCAAGCGUUAGGCGGAAUCACUGGGCUUAAAGCGUGUGUAGGCGGAUCGUUAAGUACCUUGUGAAAUCCCACGGCUCACCCGUGGAACUGCUGGGUAUACUGGCGAUCUUGGGCCAACUAGGGGCAACUGGAACAAGCGGUGGAGCGGUGAAAUGCGUAGAUAUCGCUUGGAACGCCGAAGGUGAAAACAGGUUGCUGGGGUUGUGCCGACGCUGAGACACGAAAGCCAGGGGAGCAAACGGGAUUAGAUACCCCCGUAGUCC
rnacentral:rRNA from 1 species